rnacentral:misc_RNA from 1 species
GAUGAAGAACGUAGUGAAAUGCGAUAAGUAAUGUGAAUUGCAGAAUUCAGUGAAUCAUCGAAUCUUUGAACGCACAUUGCGCCCGCCAGUAUUCUGGCGGGCAUGCCUGUUCGAGCGUCAUUACAACCCUCAGGCCCCCGGGCCUGGCGUUGGGGAUCGGCGGAGCCCCCCGUGGGCACACGCCGUCCCCCAAAUGCAGUGGCGGUCCCGCCGCGGCUUCCAUCGCGUAGUAGCUAACACCUCGCGACUGGAGAGCGGCGCGGCCACGCCGUAAAACACCCAACUCUUCUGAAGUUGACCUCGAAUCAGGUAGGAAUACCCGCUGAACUUAAGCAUAUCAAUAAGCGGAGGA